CUCUGGAAUUUGUUGUCCACAGUUGCAGCCAGCACCUUGGAUUUUCUGCAGCUUCAAUGAGAUAUACAAGAUAUUGACAAGAUCUAGGGCUGCUCUGACUUUAGACCUUAUUCCUGAGAGCCUAGUGACCCUUCACCAAGGUUGGGCCUAUGACACAGCAAUCACACGCCAUGCCAUCCUGACCAGCCAAGUACCCAGAGAAACCUGUUGGCAUGAAGUACAGACUGGAGAUGACAUCAUCUGAUGUGCUGGAUUGCAGUCCUGACUGGUGCCACGUGAUUCUGAAAGUGAUGCAAGCUGGAGAGUGAACCCUUUCCUUUUCUUCCAUUCACUAACUUUCUUCUUUUUUUUUUGUUUUUCUCUCCCUUGUUACUUUUUGUAACCACUUUAAGGUGCAAGUGAGAGUGUGUGUGUGUUUUGAAAUGUUAGCUUGUGUGUAUACAUUUAUAGUAGGAAGAUACAAUUAGUCAUUUCCUAACCCAAUUUCUAAAGACCCACCCCCGCUAAAUCCCAGAAUUGUAAAAUAGUGUUAACAGAACCACUCCAUUCUGAGAAGGGGAAGAAAGUCGUGGUGACCAACGUAUAUCAAAAGUGGCUGAAUUAGGCCAGGGAGGAAUAGUGUGGUUAUUUAUAUAAUUUUGUGGGACUAUUCCAGGGAUUAGGAGCAUAAGUGUGAUCUUGUUUCAACCUGUAUGAUUCCUGGAAAAUCAUUAGCAUGCUUACUUGUAAUCCUUGUCAUUUUAGCUACAAAAAACCAUUGGUAAAGCAGAGGACCUAUCCACCUUUGUGUUAAUUGUUUUUCAGGAACUUGAGCAAGAUGCAAUACACUUAGGUGCCUGAUAAGUGAAGCAGU